CAUAUGCCGAGAGGUGAAAUGAAUUUCGCCUGAGGAUGAGCUCGCGUCUGAUUAGCUAGUUGGUGAGGUAAUGGCUCACCAAGGCUUCGAUCAGUAGCUGGUCUGAGAGGAUGAUCAGCCACACUGGGACUGAGACACGGCCCAGACUCCUACGGGAGGCAGCAGUGGGGAAUUUUCCGCAAUGGGCGAAAGCCUGACGGAGCAACGCCGCGUGAGGGAUGAAGGCCUCUGGGCUGUAAACCUCUUUUAUCAAGGAAGAAGAUCUGACGGUACUUGAUGAAUAAGCCACGGCUAAUUCCGUGCCAGCAGCCGCGGUAAUACGGGAGUGGCAAGCGUUAUCCGGAAUUAUUGGGCGUAAAGCGUCCGCAGGCGGUUUUGAAAGUCUGUUGUUAAAGCGUGGAGCUUAACUCCAUUUCAGCAAUGGAAACUACAAGACUAGAGUGUGGUAGGGGCAGAGGGAAUUCCCGGUGUAGCGGUGAAAUGCGUAGAUAUCGGGAAGAACACCAGUGGCGAAGGCGCUCUGCUGGGCCAUAACUGACGCUCAUGGACGAAAGCCAGGGGAGCGAAAGGGAUUAGAUACCCCUGUAGUCCUGGCCGUAAACGAUGAACACUAGGUGUCGGGGGAAUCGACCCCCUCGGUGUCGUAGCCAACGCGUUAAGUGUUCCGCCUGGGGAGUACGCACGCAAGUGUGAAACUCAAAGGAAUUGACGGGGGCCCGCACAAGCGGUGGAGUAUGUGGUUUAAUUCGAUGCAACGCGAAGAACCUUACCAGGGUUUGACAUCCUGCGAAUCCCUUGGAAACUUGGGAGUGCCUUCGGGAGCGCAGUGACAGGUGGUGCAUGGCUGUCGUCAGCUCGUGUCGUGAGAUGUUGGGUUAAGUCCCGCAACGAGCGCAACCCACGUCUUUAGUUGCCAGCAUUUAGUUGGGCACUCUAGAGAGACUGCCGGUGAUAAACCGGAGGAAGGUGUGGAUGACGUCAAGUCAUCAUGCCCCUUACAUCCUGGGCUACACACGUACUACAAUGCUACGGACAAAGGGCAGCAAACUCGCGAGAGCUAGCAAAUCCCAUAAACCGUGGCUCAGUUCAGAUCGUAGGCUGCAACUCGCCUACGUGAAGGAGGAAUCGCUAGUAAUCGCAGGUCAGCAUACUGCGGUGAAUACGUUCCCGGGCCUUGUACACACCGCCCGUCACACCAUGGAAGUUGGCCACGCCCGAAGUCGUUACUCCAACCCUUGUGGAGGAGGAUGCCGAAGGUGGGGCUGAUGACUGGGGUGAAGUCGUAACAAGGUAGCCGUACCGGAAGGUGCGGCUGGAUCACCUCCUAACAGGGAGACAAUACCUGAUCGUGAUGUCUGAGUAUUUUUAUUCUUAGACCAUGAUCCUGUCAUCUCGAAGGUCGAUCGGUACCUCAACUUGAGGGUAAGAGAAGAGCUGAGCAAUCAGCUUAGAGAUUUAUCUAUCAAUUUCAGUUCCUAAACUUUGUCUAGGUCACCCCACAGGGUCGUCAGUUUAACUCGAAGCAUUUUGCUUUGAGAUUAAAUAAGACGUUACUGAGCGGUAGCAACUCCUGGGCCAUUAGCUCAGGUGGUUAGAGCGCACCCCUGAUAAGGGUGAGGUCCCUGGUUCAAGUCCAGGAUGGCCCAUUCACCGCCUGCUGAGCAGGCAGGACUACAUGGCUGGGGGUUUAGCUCAGUUGGUAGAGCGCCUGCUUUGCAAGCAGGAUGUCAGCGGUUCGAGUCCGCUAACCUCCAUCCAAUGUUGAGGCUCUGCUCUCAGACCAUGCCUUGGACCAUGCAUGCUUUUAAAGGAUGCUAGGAAAGAGUUUGGAGUUUUACUGUUGUGUUGAUCUAGAUUGUUGUUGCUGAAGAUUUCAGCUUCUUUUCAUUCUUGUCUAGUCAAGAUCUAAUCAAAAUCUGAUCAAGAUCUAAUCAAGAUUAGUUGAAAGGACGCUGAAUUCAAACUGCCCUGGCAACAGGGCAGUUUGAAUGUCAGCAGAACCUUGACAACUGCAUAGUUGAAGUCUGGAAAUAAAGCAUCUCAUGGAUGCUUGAUUCAGGUCUUAAGUCAAAUCCAGUAAUGGAUUUGAUUUGGGAUGUGAGUCAAGAAAAUUCUAUUGAGUUUUUAGAGCCGAGAGCUUCCAGUUUUCUUGUUUGUCCGCCGAGGGCAAACGAGUUUGAUCCUGACAUUCAAACCGCAAUGGAGAGCCUGAGCAAUCAGGUUCAAAUCUUGUAGGUGAAUCCAGAGAGAAUA
rnacentral:misc_RNA from 1 species